rnacentral:lncRNA from 1 species
GAAGUGGAAGGCCGGGCAGCCCAGCUGAAGGCAAUAAGCUGGGCUCACCGCUGCAGCAGAGUUCUGUGCUAGCCGGGCAUAGGGGCGAGAGAAGGCCCAGAGGCGACGUCAGAGAGAAGCAACUGCGCCCCGGUGAAGAGAAGCUCGCCCAUCACCGGCUGGGAGCCAGCUUUCAGUGAAGAUGGCAGGGCCAGAACUGUUGCUUGACUCCAACAUCUGCCUCUGGGUGGUCCUACCCAUCGUUAUCACUCUUCGUAGACAUGAUCCGCCACUACGUGUCCAUCCUGCUGGAGAGCGACAAGAAGCUCACCCAGGAACAAGUAUCUGACAGGGAAGCUCUCCACUGGGCCCUUUUCAGCAUGCAAGCCACGGGCCACGUGCUGCUUCACCUCCUGUUACCUGCAGCAGCUCCUCGAUGCCACAGAGGACGGGCAUCCCCCCAAGGGCAAGGCCUCAUCCCUCAUCCCGACCUGUCUGAAGAUACUGCAGUGAAAGCCCAAGCCCUAGCUUUCCCCAGUGAAGGACUAGACUAGGGGCCCCACGCUCAACUGGUAGUGGCCACAAGCCUGGCAGCUGUAGAGCCGCUAACCUCCCGACACCUCCCUCACCACACAGGACCCUGAGUGAGGAGGAGGGGCUGGAAACCUGGGAUGGGUUGGCCAAAGGAGAACCUCAGGCUCCUGGCCUGGCCCAGCUCCUUCCUGCCCAAGGUAGCUUAGCCCAUCCAGACUGGUCCUGAAGUCUGUCCCUCCAUUGGCAUGAAGUCUGCCCCUCAGCAGUCCGGCCUCACAGGCUGUACUUUCAUGGUGCUCUCUACCUUCUGGCCCCCAUCCCAGAACAUUCGUGAGUGAAUUCGCAAGCAUACUAGCAUGUGAUAUUAGGGAGUUUGCAAUAAAUUAUUGAUGCUGAUGUA